GCGCUUAUUAGUUUGUGUUACAUUUUCCUACUUCUGUUGUUGUCCUUAUUAACCAGUUUCCUGUUGUAUCCAUUAAAUGAAAUCUUAAGAAUGCUAUGUUCACAAGGUUGCAGUAUAUCCAAGAGGAAAAAACUCACAGGCACUCCAACAAUUGGGUGCGGUUCUCAUCACUUACUCUGCUCAAGGUUGCAGUAUAUGGCCUACUGUAGCGGGUGCAUGAUCUUAACACAUCUUCUGUGUUCUGAAAUAUACUGUUGAAGGCAUUAAGAAUCUUAUAAUGUAAAUUGGGGCCAAAGUAAUCAAAGAUUUGUUCCAUGUAAUCCAUGGUCCUUGAAAAUAUCUCUGAUUUUACUGUAGAUACAAACAAUAAACAAUAAUAAUCAGAAAAAUUACAUAGUCAUAUUCUCUGAAUGACUGCGUAUUAAUGGUCAGCAAUGCCACAGAUAGAUUAUACGUCUUCUGCUGCAUAAUUUGCAUAAAUCGCUGAAUUACACAUGGAGUUUUCAGGUUUAUUUUUAAUUGCUCAAAACAACCAACCCUGAUUUCCGUUGAUAAACGAUGUACUUGAAUUUUUAAAUAUUGCUGAAACAAACUGAUUGCACUG